rnacentral:rRNA from 1 species
GAUGAACGCUGGCGGCGUGCCUAAUACAUGCAAGUCGAGCGAACGGACGAGAAGCUUGCUUCUCUGAUGUUAGCGGCGGACGGGUGAGUAACACGUGGAUAACCUACCUAUAAGACUGGGAUAACUUCGGGAAACCGGAGCUAAUACCGGAUAAUAUUUUGAACCGCAUGGUUCAAAAGUGAAAGACGGUCUUGCUGUCACUUAUAGAUGGAUCCGCGCUGCAUUAGCUAGUUGGUAAGGUAACGGCUUACCAAGGCAACGAUGCAUAGCCGACCUGAGAGGGUGAUCGGCCACACUGGAACUGAGACACGGUCCAGACUCCUACGGGAGGUAGCAGUAGGGAAUCUUCCGCAAUGGGCGAAAGCCUGACGGAGCAACGCCGCGUGAGUGAUGAAGGUCUUCGGAUCGUAAAACUCUGUUAUUAGGGAAGAACAUAUGUGUAAGUAACUGUGCACAUCUUGACGGUACCUAAUCAGAAAGCCACGGCUAACUACGUG